rnacentral:rRNA from 2 species
CGUUUACCGUGAAAAAAUUAGAGUGUUCAAAGCAGGCAGAUCCAAUUUUCUGCCACCGAAUACAUUAGCAUGGGAUAAUGGAAUAGGACCCUGUCCUCCUAUUUUCAGUUGGUUUUGGCAGCGCGAGGACUAGGGUAAUGAUUAAUAGGGAUAGUUGGGGGCAUUAAUAUUUAAUUGUCAGAGGUGAAAUUCUUGGAUUUAUGAAAGAUUAACUUCUGCGAAAGCAUCUGCCAAGGAUGUUUUCAUUAAUCAAGAACGAAAGUUAGGGGAUCGAAGACGAUCAGAUACCGUCGUAGUCUUAACCAUAAACGAUGCCGACCAGCGAUUAGGAGACGUUGAAUACAAAACACCACCAUCGGUGCGGUCGUCCUUGGCGUCUCGGUUUCGGCCGGGGUGCGGGGACGGCUUAGCCCGGUGGCACCGGUGAAUGACUCCCUAGCA